GACAUGCAAAAGAAGAAGACAACCAAAUCUGUGUAACGAAAUUCGUGCUACAAUUGUGGACCUUGUAAUAAACCACAGACUAACACUGAGGGAGGCUGGACUGAGAGUACAGCCUAACCUAAGCAGGAACACAGUGGCAUCAAUAGUUCGGACAUUUCGUCAAGAGCACAGCAUAGGAUUGAACGUCGAGAACACCAAGGAGGGAGGCGCCGUAUAUUCACACAGGAGCAAGAAAGAGAGAUCAUAAACCUCGUUUUGGCCAAUAAUGCAAUCAAACUUCGAGAAAUUCAAGCCCAUAUUGUCAAUGAUCACCAAAUUUUCAAUAAUGUCCUACAGGUCUCUCUGUCACCAACAGGCCGUAUCCUUAAAAAAACAUCAAGUUGUGAUGAAACAAUUGUAUAAAGUGCCAUCUGAAAGAAAUUCAGACGGGGUGAAAGUCCUGCGGCGUGACUAUGUGGCGAGAGUUUUGCGAAUGGAUGCGGAAGAAGUCCCGCAUGAGUUUAUAUACGUUGAUGAAGCUGAAUUUAC